GAGCCAGCGCCGUCAGCAGCAAGAGGAGGGCCUGGGGAGAAAAAUGGCCCUUGAAUAGCAUCCCUCCUCUUGGCGGUGAUUUAUUCUUGCAUCUUUUUCCAUAGCUCCCAUUUUACAGAAGAGAAAACAGAGGUCUAGCAAGUCACCCAGCAAGUCAGUGGCAGACCUUGACCUAGAGCUCUUCUCCAUCCCAACUGCAACUCUGUGACUUAUCUUGCUGGUCCACUAGACUUUUGCCUGGAUCAUUCUCUGGGCCCCAGUGCAGGGCAAGCAGUAACCACAGUGUUUUGUCAAGUCUCAGUGCCUCUGAUGUUUUGUCUCAGAUCCCAAACCUUCUGAGGAGUAGUAGGCAUUGGUUAUGGGUCCCAGGUUUCCUGUCAUGUCCUCUCUCCAGCAUGGGGCUCCAUGGGACAUGAAUCCUAAGGGUGGCCUGGCUUGGGAGAGGCAGAGGACAUGGACACUGAGCAUUUCCUAGCUCCUCUGUCUCAUAGCAUAUACUGUGUGCAGCAUCUGCAUUGUCCAGGUGGGGAAACCAAGGCUCUUCAAAAGGAGGAAGAGGGAGUCAGGGAAUCAGUGGCAGAACUAGGGCUCCAGCCCACUUCUCAGGAUGCUUAAUCUGUUGUGUGUGUGUGUGUGUGUGUGUGUGUGUGUGUGUGUGUGUGUGUGUGUGGUGUCCCAUUCCUCUAAGCUUUUGCCCUUGCUGUUGCUUCUACUGCUUCUAAAACUGUUAACUGCCCUUGUGCACCUGACAGAUUCCAACUUACUUCUUUAUGGCACUUCUGGAUGUCUCUUCUCUGAAGGCUUUAUCUGGCUGCCAUGGGGAGCACAUCUCUCUCCGGUGUCUGUCCCAUGACAGAUGAGUGGUACAUGCUUCCAGUAAAGCAUAUCUUAACUGCUGUCACUGUGAAAUAUGUACCAUGUGUGUCUUGUUAACUAUGUUCUUAACACUCUGAGAAUAGGAAUCCUGUCUUUUUCCAGUUUGUAAUCCCAGCAUCUGAGGCUUGGUCCGUGCCUGGGAGAGACUAGGUGCUCAGUUAACAUUUAGUGGAUGGAUAAAUGGAUGGAUGGGUGGAUGGAUGAAUUGAAUCCUCUCCUCCUUUUCCAUCCCCAGAGUUGUAACUAUGUGAACACUUCUUGCAUCAGUCUCCUAGCCUCUUGUUUUACCUCACAGAAGUGUUUAUGGAUUGCUUGAUAACUUUUAAAGAACUGGCAGGAGGAGUGAAAACCCUGUUCCUAGAGAUGUCCCAGAAGGAGCUUAGGUGUCCUAACAGUUCUUGACCUUCUUUGGUUAUGGCCUUCUUUGAGAAUCUGAAGGCAGCUCGAGUUCCUCUCCUCCCGCAAUGCAUAGAGCACAUGCGUACAUGCAUGUGCAGAACUUGAACUUGCACGUGAUUUCAAAAGGAUCAUGGUGUCCUCAUGCCAACACCGGAUCCCAGAUCAAGGCCCCCUGCUAUAGAGGCUGCGAGCCUCAGUGGUACCCCAGACUGGCUAAAUAUCAGGGUCCUUCUAGUCCUCAGGUUCUCCAAUUCAUGCUUUCUGCUUACAUUCUAUGAAUAUGUCUAGAAGUGAGAGGCAGCUUUGUCCCAGUGCUUAUGCUCUAGCAGGGCGGUGGGCACAUGGCUGUGAAACAUGAGCACCUACCAGGUGAGUGGUGAGCUAGGCGGGAGCAGGAGGAACUGGGGAGGGACAGUCUCCCCUGGGAGUGUUCUGCUGUCCUUGCUGCCACUGUUCUCCUCCACCCCCCGACCUUCCCAUUUCUCUCUCUCCACCCGAGAAGAACAUAACCUGCUUCUUUAAAUUACAAUUUCAUGGAGUUCCCUGGUGACCUAGCAGUUCAGGACUUGGCAUUGUCCCUACUGUGGCUCAGGUUACUGCUGUGGCUUGGGUCUCUGCUGUGGCUUGGGUCUGAUCCCUAGCCUGGGAAUUUCUGCAUGUGGCCGGGGGCGGGGGUGGGGCGCAAGGCUAAAAAAUACAUAAAUAAAUAAGUUAGAAUCUCUCAUAGAGCUCUGCUGUGUCCAGGGAAUCAUGUUUUGUAUGCCCUGAUGAGUGGGCCUCCAGGAGGCCAUGGUGCCCUUGGGGAUCUUGAGUGGUAGGCUGCCACCUCUGUCACCGUCGACCCUGCUACCUCCUUGGCCCACAGGUCAGCCUUGGACCUUGAAAACAGAAGCCGAGCUGGAGUCUGACUACAACUGGGGAAACCCUUGGUCCAGGAGUGGCUUUGCUUUCCCAGAAGCCACCUCCGACCUUUACAACUGGCUCUUUCCUUCUGUCCCUGAGCCUAGCCUACAUCCACCUCUGCUUGUGUGUAUCGGGUGUGUGUGGUGCAUGUGCGUGUGUGUGUUUGGCCCCAGAGGCUGGAGCCCCAGAUAGAUCCUAGGGAUAGAAGAAGUGCAGAUCUCCUUGGAGGAGGGGUGGAGUCAUUUGUGAAAUGAAUGGUUUCUUGUCCCAAAGAGAGGAGUGUGGGGUGUAUGUGUGUGUGCGUGUGUGUGCAUGCACGUGUCUGUGCGUGUGUAUGGAGGGUGUACGGGUGUGGCUUUUGGGGAUAAGAAAGCAGUUGUUCAGCUGAUGAAAGAACCCCCACAGAGCUAGGGACUAAGGCCAGAGGGUUCCUCCUCCAGCGCUGUCUCAUGCCGGGGGCAGCAGGACUCAGCAUUUGCUUCUUCCAGACCUCCUAGGACACUGCCCUUCCCUGCAGUGCUGCUCCCGCCUCUGUCUGCUGUCCCUUCUGUCUUCUUGCACCUGUCUCUUCUGCCUGUAGGCUGCCCUUGGAUGCUUCUGCCCACCUGCCCUGACUCCUGCCUAACCCCUCCCACUGUGCCCUCUUUUUGUCCGGGGGGAACACAGCUUGUCAAGCUGAGUCAGCCCUGGAAAUCUUUACCUCUGUGUCCCAGAUCUCUCAGCAGAACCACCAACCCCAGGGCCCAAAACUUUCAUGCAGCCCAGAGAAGCUGGUGCCUCAUCUUGCCAGGACCAAGGGGCUUGGAAGUAUGACGUUGCAGGGCCUCAGUGCCAAGGAGAAUGGUCCACACCUAGUGUUUUCCUCCAGCUCCCCUUCUUGUCAAGGAAGCCGAGCUUUGAAGGCUGAGUGGGGCCUGAAAUACAAGAGGCUGAUAGAUCUGGGUGUGAAUCUUCUGUCAGUCAUGUGCUGACUGUGUUACCUUGGGCAAGUUACUCAGCCUCUCUGAGCCUCAGUUUCUAGUUCUAUACUCUAGGACCAAUAAUGCCCAUCCAAAUAGUGUUCCUGCCAGGUAUAAGAGACUGAGAAAGGGAAAGGAUCCAGUCAAGUAUCUGAUCCAAGUAGGAUCAGAAGAAACUUUAGUGUCUUCCCGUCUAACUUUCUCCAAUAGCCAAGCCAGAACCUUGGAGAAGUUCCAGCAAUGGACAGGAAUCCGAUGCUUUGUUCCCCACAUGUGGCAUGAGGAUCCCACGCUUCCUGCUAGCUGCUGGGGUCGCUGACGCAGGGAGGAAGGAGGGGUGGUCUCUUCCCCCAGGCUGGUGAUUUGGGCCUAGAUGGCCCAGAGCCACACGCUAGCGGGGCUGCCCUCACCCACUGCCCAGAGCAGCUAAAUCCUGGGUGACAACACCCUCCAACUUAGUCCAUGGGAACUCGGAGACCCUGACCUAAAUCCUUCGAGGUGUGAGGGCAUCCAUACCCUCAUCUGUCAGGUGGAGCACCUUCCUGCCUGUGAUUAUCCGCAUGCCAGACGGUCAUGGGCGUAGGGAGCAGCAGAAACAUUCUGGUUCUUAGGACAAGGGAGGGUUGCAGAAUCUUUGCCUUUGGGGAUAGCCAGGCUUGUGAACAGAUGAGGGGCAUCACUGUGUAAAGAAAUUAGAGAGGGACUUCAGAGCUGCUACAGGCAAGGGCCAGGGAGCCACGGGGUGGUCCCCAUCACAGCCUAUAGCACAGGCCAAGGCCAAGAGGUCUCAGAGGCUGCUGAAGGGGGCUGGGGCCUUAGGAGCACCCGAACCCAUGCUUUUCACACCAUCCCUUGGAGCCCAGGUCUGAGCAAGAGGAAGGGAUGGGUUCAAGGCCACAGCACUAGAAUUUUAGAGCCAGGUCAAGAGCCAGGUUCUGGAGGGCUUUGGACCCACUGGACAUCCCCGGGGAGUGGACAGCAAGUGCAAAAUUGGAGGGAGAAGAGCCAAGGGGCGCAGGCUGGCUGUUGCAGAGUUAGAGGCUGACUGGUGAAGGGAAGCCCUGCCCAGCCUUGCCCUCCAGCUACAGAUGGCAGGCCUUGGGAGAGGUGGUACUCCCUUGAUUUAAGUGCCCUCUGGGUGCCAGGAUCCAGGGGUGUCUUUCAGUACCUAGGCGUCUGAAACUUAAAAAAGCAGGACUGCAGGGAUCAUCAAGUGUGCCCUUCUUCCCUGCUCCAUGUUCCAUUUUGCAUGUGGGAAACCCAAGAGGCCAGGCCCCAGUUCCACAGACAGAGGGGAGGGAGCUCUGUGUGUCCAGGUCUCUGCUCCAUCCAAUCCCCACAGGCCUUGGAAACCACGGCUGGGAGACCAACUCACCUUUCGCCUCCAUGGCUCGAGGAGCUCCUUGGGGUUUCAGAGAGGAAGCAGCUUGCUGCCCCACCCGCCCUUCCAGCCAGCCAGCAAGCAGGACUCCUGGCCUGUAGACCUGGCUCUGUGCCCUGGUCUGUGCCCCUGGGGCUCGCUGGGCCUCAGUUUCUCUAUUGUAGCUUUCGAGAGUGAGGUCGGUCGGCUGACUGCCCUGUCCUUUCAUCCUUUCGUGGUGUCGUCUUGAAUUGGGGGUGGGGGAAGGGAGCAGGAGCAGCCGUGGGGCCAGGCCAGAGCAGACUGAAUGGGGAGAGGCAGUGAGCUCUAGCCCUGCUUCUCAGACCUGCAGCUGCCUGUGUGACUCUCCUGAGGGACAAAGCUGUGACCCUCUGAGGUGGUGGUGGGAAUCAAGCUGUCAGGGUGAGGACAGGCUGCUCCGAGGCCUCUGGCGGUCCUGGGAUACCCACGGGCUGCUCAUGGGCAGGGGUGUGUGGCCACAAGACCUGGGAGAGGUUUUUCAGGGUGUAAUUAGUGCACUUUCUGGCACCCACCAAACUUCCCCUUCCUCUUGACAAUCUGCUGCCAAAACAGCCCUGAUUCCUGUAGACUUGCUUACAUCUUAUGCAGGGG
rnacentral:lncRNA from 1 species